rnacentral:rRNA from 1 species
CAUAUCAAUAAGCGCAGGAAAAGAAACCAACAGGGAUUGCCUCAGUAACGGCGAGUGAAGCGGCAACAGCUCAAAUUUAAAAUCUGGCCUCUUGGGGUCCGAGUUGUAAUUUGUAGAGGAUGUUUUGGGUACCGCCCCGGUUUAAAUUUCUUGGAACAGAAUGUCAAAGAGGGUGAGAAUCCCGUCUUGGACCGGCGGUAGGGCCUGUGUAAAACUCCUUCGACGAGUCGAGUUGUUUGGGAAUGCAGCUCAAAAUGGGUGGUAAAUUUCAUCUAAAGCUAAAUAUUGGCCAGAGACCGAUAGCGCACAAGUAGAGUGAUCGAAAGAUGAAAAGCACUUUGAAAAGAGAGUUAAACAGUAUGUGAAAUUGUUGAAAGGGAAGCGCUUGCAACCAGACUUGAGCGCGGCGGUUCCCCCAGCCUUUUGGCUGGGUUACUCCGUCGUGUCCAGGCCAACAUCGGUUCUGGGGGUCGGUCAAAGGCCUUGGGAAUGUAUCUACCUACGGGUAGACUUAUAGACCAGGGUGUCAUGCGGCCUCCCGGGACCGAGGAACGCGCUUCGGCUCGGAUGUUGGCGUAAUGGUUGUCAGCGACCCGUCUUGAAACACGGACCAAGGAGUCUAACAUCUAUGCGAGUGUUUGGGUGUCAAACCCGGAACGCGGAAUGAAAGUGAACGGAGGUAGGAAGCUUCGGCUGCACUAUCGACCGAUCCUGAAGUUUACGGAUGGAUUUGAGUAAGAGCAUAGCUGUUGGGACCCGAAAGAUGGUGAACUAUGCCUGAAUAGGGUGAAGCCAGAGGAAACUCUGGUGGAGGCUCGCAGCGGUUCUGACGUGCAAAUCGAUCGUCAAAUUUGGGUAUAGGGGCGAAAGACUAAUCGAACCAUCUGGUAGCUGGUUCCUGCC